rnacentral:tRNA from 1 species
GCCCGGAUGGCGGAACUGGUAGACGCAAGGGACUUAAAAUCCCUCGGUAGCGAUACUGUGCGGGUUCAACUCCCGCUCCGGGUACCA